CAGUAGCCACGGGAAUACGUAGGGUGCAAGCGUUAAUCGGAAUUACUGGGCGUAAAGCGUGCGCAGGCGGUUCUAUAAGACAGAUGUGAAAUCCCCGGGCUCAACCUGGGAACUGCAUUUGUGACUGUAGAGCUGGAGUGCGGCAGAGGGGGAUGGAAUUCCGCGUGUAGCAGUGAAAUGCGUAGAUAUGCGGAGGAACACCGAUGGCGAAGGCAAUCCCCUGGGCCUGCACUGACGCUCAUGCACGAAAGCGUGGGGAGCAAACAGGAUUAGAUACCCCCGUAGUCCCUGUCUCUUAUAC
rnacentral:rRNA from 1 species